UUGGAACGUAGUCGACGGCGAUAGGUCUUAAGAGUAGGGCGCAGUUCGUAGCUCUGAAUAUUUAGUAAAUACUUCUUUUAGUUUGUUACUUUUCAUAUUCGAAAAGAUAACAGCUUGUUGGAUAACCCUAUCCUUAAUAUUUUUUAACACUUUUGACUCCGAGGAAGAUCUUUUUUGUUUUAAACGAAAGCCGCCAAGUCACCCUCGUCGCCAUUUUUUCCUCUACUGCAGUUUUUUGGUCGGAGAUGUGUGUAGAAGCAAUGGACACCAGCUCGAAGAAGUUGAGAAACAGCUGUCUGCGUAAAACCAUGAAACCAGGAUCGAAGCUGAGGUGGACGAGGCCUUGAAGCAGUGUCGAGGCAGCGCGUUGAGGACCAUCCGGAAAUACCUUGGGCGGGCGCCGAGGCGGCCGCGGCUGGCUGAUCUGGCUGAACUCCUGGGAGGCAUCGGCGGGAAGGCCAAAAUGGAGUCCGCGCGCGAGGAAGGGCGCGUUGCGGCCUGCGCGCACCGCCAACCGUCGGGGGCAAUGGCGCCGGAAAACACCACGCAGUACCUGAUGGGACUGCGACGAGGACGGCUGCCUUGCCUUCCAACAGCGGGACUUUGAGGAAGCGUUUGAGCUGUAUUGGCAACCGGAAUGAACCGGUCUGCGUGGCCUUGCGUUACUGGUCUGGCCUCGCUUCCAGCUGUGACUUUACGAUAUGGGCAAAGAACAAGCGGCGCACUGGGUGGUGCCCGCACCCUCCCUCCAGUAGGGAGCGCUCCUGAGCACUUCAUGGCGCCGCCUCGAGGAACGAAUCAAACGCACCCUGUCCACGGAUUGUGAAAUCCAGGUAAAGCCGGGCAGGUAUUGUUGCACUGCAUUGUCGAUGACUGGCAACCGUAGUACACUGUGAUGCAUUGUGGGGGACAGCAUUGUGCUGUCCAGUUACUGUUGUCUGAGCGUUUUCCAGGUCAACCUGACGGGACACAUGGCUCUGCCGUGAGAGGAGCAGGAGACCGAGGAGGUUGGUCUUCACGUGAUUGACACAAGGUGACAUUCAAUGCCCAUUGGGUUGUCUAGACUGUUUCCAUGGAGAUGAGUUCGUGGGGGGGGGAUGUGGAAUUCCAGGCAAAGUACUGGAUUUUUUUUUUAAUUCAAUGGUUAAGGUGUGUGUAUAUAAUAUAGUUUAAGUGACACAUGUUCAAUAAAUGAUAUUUUUUAUGACAUCUGAUUGACUCGUCUGUCUGUUUUGCUCAAUGGUACAAUUUCAUGAAGAGAUCGAUUGGCCUUGUGGAAGGUCUGAUACUCAAAUGUUUUUAGUUGAAUCGUGAAUCAAGUUUGCCCACCGCU
ensembl:lncRNA